rnacentral:rRNA from 1 species
AGUGAACGCUGGCGGCGUGCCUAAUACAUGCAAGUCGAACGGAGUGGCGCACGGGUGAGUAACGUAUAGCUAAUCUGUCCUACACUAGAGGACAACAGUUGGAAACGACUGCUAAUACGCUAUAGUGUAGGAUGAGGCUAUAUUGUAUCAGCUAGUUGGUGAGGUAAUGGCUCACCAAGGCUAUGACGCAUAACUGGUCUGAGAGGAUGAUCAGUCACACUUGAAGUGGGACACAGUCCAGACUCCUUCGGGAUGCAGCAGUAGUGAAUAUUGCUAAAUUGGGGUAACGCUGAAGCAGCACCGCCGCGUGUAGUAUGACACUUUUCGAAGCGUAAACUCCUUUUGUUAGAGAAGCGGUACCUAACGAAUAAGCACCGGCUAACUCCGUGCCAGCCGCCGCGGUAAUUC